GGAUUAGAUACCCUGGUAGUCCACACCGUAAACGAUGAAUGCCAGUCGUCGGCAAGCAUGCUUGUCGGUGACACACCUAACGGAUUAAGCAUUCCGCCUGGGGAGUACGGUCGCAAGAUUAAAACUCAAAGGAAUUGACGGGGGCCUGCACAAGCGGUGGAGCAUGUGGUUUAAUUCGACGCAACGCGCAGAACCUUACCAGCGUUUGACAUCUUGGUCGCGGAUUUCAGAGAUGAAUUCCUUCAGUUCGGCUGGACCAAUGACAGGUGCUGCAUGGCUGUCGUCAGCUCGUGCCG
rnacentral:rRNA from 1 species